ACUACACGAAGCUGGAAUCGCUAGUAAUCGCGAAUCAGAAUGUCGCGGUGAAUACGUUCCCGGGUCUUGUACACACCGCCCGUCACACCAUGGGAGUCGGGAAUGCCCGAAGUCAGUGACCCAACCUUUGGGAGGGGAGCUGCCGAAGGCAGGUCUGGUAACUGGGGUGAAGUCGUAACAAGGUAAC
rnacentral:rRNA from 1 species